UACGUAGGGGGCAAGCGUUGUCCGGAUUUAUUGGGCGUAAAGAGCUUGUAGGCGGUUUGUCGCGUCUGCUGUGAAAUUUCGGGGCUCAACCCCGAACUUGCAGUGGGUACGGGCAGACUAGAGUGUGGUAGGGGAGACUGGAAUUCCUGGUGUAGCGGUGAAAUGCGCAGAUAUCAGGAGGAACACCGAUGGCGGAGGCAGGUCUCUGGGCCACUACUGACGCUGAGAAGCGAAAGCAUGGGGAGCAAACAGG
rnacentral:rRNA from 1 species